CCGGAGUCUACCUUCCGG
rnacentral:snRNA from 1 species